rnacentral:rRNA from 1 species
GACGAACGCUGGCGGCGUGCUUAACACAUGCAAGUCGAACGGAAAGGCCCCUUCGGGGGUACUCGAGUGGCGAACGGGUGAGUAACACGUGAGUAACCUGCCCUUGACUUCGGGAUAACUUCAGGAAACUGGGGCUAAUACCGGAUAGGAAUCCUUGCUGCAUGGUGGGGGUUGGAAAGCUUCGGCGGUUUUGGAUGGACUCGCGGCUUAUCAGUUUGUUGGUGGGGUAGUGGCUUACCAAGGCUUUGACGGGUAGCCGGCCUGAGAGGGCGACCGGCCACAUUGGGACUGAGAUACGGCCCAGACUCCUACGGGAGGCAGCAGUGGGGAAUAUUGCACAAUGGGCGGAAGCCUGAUGCAGCAACGCCGCGUGCGGGAUGACGGCCUUCGGGUUGUAAACCGCUUUCAGCAGGGGCGAAGCUUGUGGUGACGGUACCUGCAGAAGAAGCACCGGCUAACUACGUG